UGGGGAAUAUUGGACAAUGGGGGAAACCCUGAUCCAGCGACGCCGCGUGUGUGAAGAAGGCCUGCGGGUUGUAAAGCACUUUUAGUGGGGAUGAAAAGUUCAGGGCUAAUACCUCUGGAUCUUGACCUAACCCACAGAAAAAGCACCGGCUAACUCUGUGCCAGCAGCCGCGGUAAUACAGAGGGUGCAAGCGUUAAUCGGAAUUACUGGGCGUAAAGCGUGCGUAGGCGGUUUCGUAAGUCGGGUGUGAAAGCCCCGGGCUCAACCUGGGAAUUGCAUUCGAGACUGCGAAGCUAGGGUGCGGAAGAGGGAAGCGGAAUUUCCGGUGUAGCGGUGAAAUGCGUAGAUAUCGGAAGGAACAUCAGUGGCGAAAGCGGCUUCCUGGUCCAGCGCCGACGCUCAGGCACGAAAGCGUGGGGAGCAAACAGGAUUAGAUACCCCCGUAGUCC
rnacentral:rRNA from 1 species